GAUGAACGCUAGCGGCAGGCUUAAUACAUGCAAGUCGUGGGGCAGCAGGACUGUAGCAAUACAGUUGCUGGCGACCGGCACACGGGUGCGGAACACGUACGCAACUUACCCUGAACUGGGGGAUAGCCCGGGGAAACCCGUAUUAAUACCCCGUAAUAUAAUGGAGUGGCAUCACUUUAUUAUUAAAGCUCCGGCGGUUCGGGAUGGGCGUGCGGCUGAUUAGGUAGUUGGUUGAGGUAACGGCUCACCAAGCCUACGAUCAGUAACUGGUGUGAGAGCACGACCAGUCACACGGGCACUGAGACACGGGCCCGACUCCUACGGGAGGAAGCAGUAAGGAAUAGUGGGCAAGGGAGGCAACUCUGACCCAGCCAUGCCGCGUGGAGGAUGAAGGCGCUCGGGGUUGUAAACUUCUUUUAUAGGGGACGAAACCUGUGUAUUCUGACGCAGUUGACGGUACCCUAGGAAUAAGCACCGGCUAACUCCGUG
rnacentral:rRNA from 1 species